rnacentral:rRNA from 1 species
UACGAAGGGGGCUAGCGUUGUUCGGAUUUACUGGGCGUAAAGGGCGCGUAGGCGGGCUGAUCAGUCAGGGGUGAAAUCCCAAGGCUCAACCUUGGAACUGCCUUUGAUACUGUCGGUCUUGAGUUCGAGAGAGGUAAGUGGAACUGCGAGUGUAGAGGUGAAAUUCGUAGAUAUUCGCAAGAACACCAGUGGCGAAGGCGGCUUACUGGCUCGAAACUGACGCUGAGGCGCGAAAGCGUGGGGAGCAAACAGG